CAAUUUGACCUCAGAUCGGGUGGGACUACCCGCUGAACUUAAGCAUAUCAAUAAGCGGAGGAAAAGAAACUAACAAGGAUUCCCCUAGUAACGGCGAGUGAAGAGGGAAAAGCUCAAAUUUUGAAUCCGGUGUCUUUGGCAUCUGAGUUGUAAUCUAGAGAAGUGUUUUCUGCCUUGGACCACACAUAAAUUCCCUGGAAUGGGGUGUCAUAGAGGGUGAGAAUCCCGUUUGUGGUGUGGACUACCUUGGCUCUGUGAUACACUCUCAACGAGUCGAGUUGUUUGGGAAUGCAGCUCAAAAUGGGUGGUAAAUUCCAUCUAAAGCUAAAUACUGGCGAGAGACCGAUAGCGAACAAGUACCGUGAGGGAAAGAUGAAAAGCACUUUGGAAAGAGAGUGAAACAGUACGUGAAAUUGUUGAAAGGGAAGCGUUUGAAGUCAGUCACAUUGGUCGGAAUUCAGCCUGGCUUCUGCCUGGUUUACUU
rnacentral:rRNA from 1 species